UACGGAGGGCGCAAGCGUUGUUAGGAAUCACUGGGCGUAAAGCGCGUGUAGGCGGCUUGGCAAGUCGGGUGUGAAAGCCCGGGGCCUAACCCCGGAACUGCAUUCGAAACUGCCUCGCUCGAGUCCCGGAGAGGAUGGUGGAAGUCCCGGUGUAGUGGUGAAAUACGUAGAUAUCGGGAGGAAAACCAGCGGCGAAGGUGGCCAUCUGGCCGGUGACUGACGCUGAGACGCGAAAGCGUGGGGAGCAAACAGG
rnacentral:rRNA from 1 species